CGAGGACAGCCUGUCAAUCAGAAGUCUGGAUGCUGCUCCUCAUGAAAGGGAAAAUGUUUUAGUGCUUGUGAUGUUGACCGUGUUCUUUGUGGCGUGUAAAACUAGUUCUCUUUUAAUGCUUAGAUAAGAAGAAAAUUAUUUUAUAUGGUUUCGUUCUGAUCAGUUGUUCAGAACUGUUAAAAAAAUUCCAUUCUUUUAAAUGUAAUUUUAUUUUAAGAAACAUUUGUACAGAAUAAGGUAGAUACUGGUAUUCACCAAUAUUCCUAAUCUGUA
rnacentral:misc_RNA from 1 species